CUAAGGAGCCCAUGAGCCGGCAACUAAGGAGACUGCCUGCCACAACUGAGACUCAGUGCAACCAAAUAAAUAAAUAAAUAUUUUUUAAAAAAUGAACUAUCAGAAAAAGAAAAAGGAAACAAUCACACUUACCAUAGCAUCAAAAAGAAUAAAAUACCUAGAAAUAAACCUACCUAAGGAGGAAAAAGACCUGUACUCUGAAAACUAUAAGACACUGAUGAAAGAAAUUGAAGAUGACACAGAUGGAAAGAUAUACCAUGUCCUUGGGUUGGAAGAAUCAAUAUUGUUAAAAUUACCAUAUUACCCAAGGCAAUCUAUAGAUUCAGUGCAAUUCUUGUCAAAUUACCAAUGGCAUUUUUCACAGAACUAGAACAAAAAAUAUUUUAAUUUAUAUGGAAACACAAAAGACCCCAAAUAGCCAAAACAAUUCUGAGAAAGAAGAACGGAGCUGGAGGUAUCAUGCUCCCUGGCUUCAGAUUAUACUAUUGAAUAUAAAUCUACAGUAAUCAAAACAACAUGGUACAGGCACAAAAACAGACACGUACAUCAGUGGAACAGGAUAGAAAGCCCAGAAAUAAAUGUACAUACUCAACGGUCCACACUUAUGGUCAAUUAAUCUAUGACAAAGGAGGUAAGAAUAUACAAUGGAGAAAAGACAGUCCCUUCAAUAAGUGGUGCUGGGAAAACUGAACAGCUACAUGUAAAGAAUAAAAUUAGAACAUUCUCUAACAUCAUACACAAAAAUAAACUCAAAAUGGAUUAAGACCUAAAUAUAAGACUGGACACUAUAAAACUCCUGGAGGAAAGCAAAAAACAAAAGCAAAAGUAAACAAAUGGUACCUAAUUAAACUUAAAGGCUUUUGCACAGCAAACGAAACCAUGAAUGAAAUGAAAAGGUAACCUACAGAAUGGGAAAAAUAUUUGCAAACGAUGCAACUGAUGAGUGGUUAACAUCCAAAAUAUGUGAACAACUCAUACAACUCAGUAUCUUUUUUUUUUUUUUUUUUUUUUUUUUGUGGCACGCGGGCCUCUCACUGCUGUGGCCUCUCCCUUUGCGGAGCACAGGCUCCGGACACGAAGGCCCAGCGGCCAUGGCUCACGUGCCUGGCCGCUCCGCGGCAUGUGGGAUCCUCCCGGUCCCGGGCAUGAACCCGCGUCCCCUGCAUCGGCAGGCGGACUCUCAAUCACUGCGCCACCAGGGAAGCUCAACUCAAUAUCUUAAAGAAACAAACAAACCCAAUCAAAAAAUGGGCAGAAGGCCUAAAUAGACACUUCUCCAAAGAAGACAUACAGAUGGCCAAAAAGCACAUGAAAAGAUGUCCAGCAUCGAUAAUCAUUAGAGAAAUGCAAAUCAAAACUACCAUGAGGUAUCACUUCACACUAGUCAUGUGGGAAGCUAUCAUCAAGAUGUCUACAAAUAAUAAAUGCUGGAGAGGGGGUGGAGAAAAGGCAACCCUCCUACACUGUUGGUGGGAAUGUAAAUUGGUGUAGCCACUAUGGAAAACAGUAUGGGGGUUCCUUAAAAAACUAAAAAUAGAGUUAUAAUCCAGCAAUCCCACUCUUGGGCAUAUAUCUGGAAAAGACAAAAACUCUUAAUUCAAAAAGCUACGUGCACCUCAGUGUUCAUAGCAGCACUAUUUACAAUAGCCAAGAUAUGGAAGCAACCUAAAUGUCCAUUGACAGAUGAAUGAAUAAAGAAUAUGUGGUAUAUAUAGAUAUAGAUACAGACAUACACACACACACACACACACACACACACACACACACACACACACAGUGGAAUAUUAGUCAGCCAUAAAAAAGAAUGAAAUAAUGCCAUUUGCAGCAACAUGUAUGGACCUAGAGAUUGUCAUACUAAGUGAAGUAAGAAACAGAAAGACAGGUAUAUCACUCAUGUGGAAUCUAAAAUAUGACACAAAUUAACUUAUUUACAAAGCAGAAAUCGACUCACAGACAUAGAAAACAAACUUAUGGUUACCAAAGGGGGAAGUGGGGGCAGGGAUUAAUUAGGAGUUUGGAAUUAACCAAAACACACUACUGUGUAUGUAAUAGAUAAACAACAAGGACCUACUUUAUAGCACAGAGAACUAUAUUCAGUAUCUUGUAAUAACCUAUAAUGGAAAAGAAUCUGAAAAGUGUAUAUAUAUAUUGGGUGAGCCAAAAAGUGCCUUCGGUUUUUUAAGUAAAAAUAAAAGACAUUUUUCGUCUUCACCAAGAACUUUACUGAACAACGUACUCACCCUUUUAUUCCACUACCUUCUGCCAUUUUUCAGGCAACUUCAUAAUUCCAUCUUCCCAAAACUUUUUAUCUUUUUGAGCAAAGAACUGUUCCAGGUGCCUUUUACAGUCUUCCAGGGAAUCGAAAUUUUUUCCAUUAAGAGAAUUUUGUAAAGACUGAAAUAAAUGAAAAUCCGAAGGUGCAAUGUCUGGUGAAUACGGCGGAUGAAUCAGAACUUCGCAGCCAAGGUGUAACAGUUGUUGCCUGGUCAUCAAAGAAACUUGCGGUCUUGCGUUAUCCUGAUGGCAGAUUAUGCGUUUUCUGUUGACUAACUCUGGACGUUUUUUGUCGAGUGCCCCUUUCAGUUGGUCUCAUUGGGAGCAAUACUUGUUGGAAUUAAUCAUUUGGUUUUCUGGAAGGAGCUCAUAAUAGAGCACUCCCUUCCAAUCCCACCAUAUACACAACAUCACCUUCUUUGGAUGAAGACUGGCCUUUGGUGUGGUCGUUGGUGGUUCAUUUUGCUCGCCCCACGAUCUCUUCCAUUCCACAUUAUUGUACAGUAUCCACUUCUCAUCGCCCGUCACAAUUUGUUUUAAAAACGGAACAUUUUCAUUACACUGCAGUGAAGAAUCGUAUGAGGAAAUAUGGUCAAGAAGGUUUUUUUCACUUAUGUGGAACCCAGUCAAAGUGAUUCCCAUAACCAAGCUGAUGCAAAUGAUUUUCAGUGCUUGAUUUGGGUAUAUUGAGUAUGUCCACUGUCUCCCACACGGUAUCACGUUGCUUGUUCUCAAUUAUUGUUUCGAUUUGAUUGCUGUCAACUUCAACUGGUUUACCCAACCGUGGAGCAUUGUCCAGCAAGAAAUCUCCAGCACGAUACUUUGCAAACCACUUUGACACGUUCAAUCAGUCACCUUCUCCAUACACUGCACAAAUCUUUUUGUGUGUUUCAGUUGCGUUUUUACCUUCCUUGAAAUAAUGAAGCAAAAUAUGCCCAAAAUGUUGCUUUUUUUCUUCCAUCUUCAAUAUUAAAAUGGCUGCACAAAAAUUCACCGAUUUUGAUAAGUCUUUUUUUAAAUGCACCCUGAUAUGACAGCUGUCACAUACAAUCUAGCAAAAUUGUUUCGAAUGAAUGGCUCUGAGUACUACUAGAGCCAUCUUAUGGAAAACACUGAAUGAACCUUUUGGCCCACCCAAUAUAUAUAUAAAUAACUUAUAAUGGGGACUUCCCUGGUGGUUAAGAAUCCGCCUGCCAAUGCAGGGGACACGGGUUCGAGCCCUGGUCCGGGAAGAUCCCACAUGCCACGGAGCAACUAAGCCCGUGCACCACAACUACUGAGCCUGCACUCUAGAGCCCACGAGACACAACUACUGAGCCCGUGUGCCACAACUACUGAAGCCCACGUCCCUAGAGCCCAUGCUCCCAACAAGAGAAGCCACUGUGACGAGAAGCCCGUGCACUGCAACAAAGAGUAGCCCCCGCUCACCGCGACUAGAGAAAGCCCGCGUGCAGCAAUGAAGACCCAACACAGCCAAAAAUAAAUAAAUAAAUAAAUUUAUAUUAAAAAAAAAAGACAGGAACCUUUUCUCAACAGGGAGUAAGAAAUGAACACAGGUUAAGUUAAAUCUUUAGUGUUUUUUAAAGCUGCAUUGAGGCCAAUAAAAAUAAAAGUUGU